rnacentral:rRNA from 1 species
CCUACGGGAGGCAGCAGUGAGGAUUAUUGGUCAAUGGACGAGAGUCUGAACCAGCCAAGUAGCGUGAAGGAUGACUGCCCUAUGGGUUGUAAACUUCUUUUAUAUGGGAAUAAAACGUUCCACGUGUGGGAUUUUGUAUGUACCAUAUGAAUAAGGAUCGGCUAACUCCGUGCCAGCAGCCGCGGUAAUACGGAGGAUCCGAGCGUUAUCCGGAUUUAUUGGGUUUAAAGGGAGCGUAGGUGGAUUGUUAAGUCAGUUGUGAAAGUUUGCGGCUCAACCGUAAAAUUGCAGUUGAAACUGGCAGUCUUGAGUACAGUAGAGGUGGGCGGAAUUCGUGGUGUAGCGGUGAAAUGCUUAGAUAUCACGAAGAACUCCGAUUGCGAAGGCAGUUCACUGGACUGCAACUGACACUGAGGCUCGAAAGUGUGGGUAUCAAACAGGAUUAGAUACCCGUGUAGUC